UACGAAGGGGGCUAGCGUUGCUCGGAAUCACUGGGCGUAAAGGGUGCGUAGGCGGGUCUUUAAGUCAGGGGUGAAAUCCUGGAGCUCAACUCCAGAACUGCCUUUGAUACUGAGGAUCUUGAGUUCGGGAGAGGUGAGUGGAACUGCGAGUGUAGAGGUGAAUUCGUAGAUAUUCGCAAGAACACCAGUGGCGAAGGCGG
rnacentral:rRNA from 1 species